rnacentral:sRNA from 1 species
UGGUUUAUUGAACGGCUUUUGGUAUUUCUACACAUUACUUUUAAUUAUAAGCAAUUUCCAGCUAAGACUUUUCAAGGUAAAUAAAUGAAAUAAAAUUCCUGUGGACUUUUUCUUAAAAAUUUAACAUCCUACAGGAUCUGCUUCUGUAUCAUCUAUAAGUUUAACCAAAGGCACUGAUGAAGUGCCUGUCCCUCCUCCUGUUCCUCCACGAAGACGACCAGAAUCUGCCCCAGCAGAAUCUUCACCAUCUAAGAUUAUGUCUAAGCAUUUGGACAGUCCCCCAGCCAUUCCUCCUAGGCAACCCACAUCAAAAGCCUAUUCACCACGAUAUUCAAUAUCAGACCGGACCUCUGUCUCAGACCCUCCUGAAAGCCCUCCCUUAUUACCACCACGAGAACCUGUGAGGACACCUGAUGUUUUCUCAAGCUCACCACUACAUCUCCAACCUCCCCCUUUGGGCAAAAAAAGUGACCAUGGCAAUGCCUUCUUCCCAAACAGCCCUUCCCCUUUUACACCACCUCCU